GUAGGUACAGGUGAGUUGUGUUCAGAUGAGCGCACGCGUGUUACUGUAUGGCGCACUGGUAACUUAAGUGGCCAGCCCAGUCUGAGCAUGCGACAGUUAAGGUCCCGUGAGUCUGUUGUCCCACUCAGCGCUCGCACAAUAUAGCGGCAUCACCCGUGGGCAAUGGAAGCGGCUGGAGAAUGGUCAAAUCCAGGAAUAGCUGUCGUCCGGUUCAAUCCGGUUCCGUCAAUAGUUCAAUCAAGGAAGAGCUCACGGCCGAUGUCAAAAUCCGGUUCCGUGAAUUGUGCUGCCGAAAUUCCGUUCAACGGUGAUGCGCUCCCGCGACAAUGUGCAGCGAGAAUAGACAGUUUACUGCGUAUUUUUGUGUGUGAUAAUAUGUCGCAUUGUGUAGGGUGUGUUAUUCUCAGUUGUUAUAUAUACCUAUAUUAGAAGUAGAUAAUAGAUAAUUCCCUAUUAUCUACUUCUGACCUAUAUGGUGUUUUGUUAUCAGAGUUGUUCGCUGAUGUCGCAGUAGGUACUUAGCGCGACGGAUAUCGACAUUUUUCUGCGUAUUACUCUGCGAUAAUAGAUCGCAUUAGCGUGCAUUGGACUGCAAUGGUGUGUAUCCUGCGGUGUUCGUGUAAGAUAGAUUCACCGUGCACGUUCAGAAACGAUAUAGUUAAUUGGCUUUGCGGGAUUCGUGCAUCACAGAAUAUUCGUUGCACGCACAAUUCUACGAUACUAUACAGAUGUCUCCAAAUCGUAACACUCGCGCCGCGUGUCGCGUAAUCGAAUACAAGUAAUUCCGUACCUUAGAGAAGCGGUUCGCGGAGGCGCUCGGCGGGGUGAAGGCACGUCGAUACAUUUGUACUGGUAUGCACUGAUGCCCGCGGCGGUGUGUCCAACACAUACCAGACGUGACAGGCGGUGUGGGGGUGCAACAGCAGCAAGUAGACGCAUCUCGGCAAAGACGAGAACAUGCUCGUGCGCACAUAUAGAGGGAGUACGUUCGUGAGAGGCGUGGCGGCUGCCGUAUUCCUGCUGACGCUCUACAUCGUAUGGAGUUGUCACCGGACAUCCAGUAGCGUGUGGAGUACGUUACCAGCAGGCUGGCACGCUGAGCGAGCCCGCAGCGGCAUACUGCGCCACCUGUCCGCCAUACUGCAGUACAACAGCAGUGUUGCCGAGCAAUCAGCCGACACGGCGCAACAGCGGUGGCCACCGUCGCCCGCACGACAAGCAGCAGCGGCGCCACCGUCGCUCCCACCUCAAGCAGCAGCGGCGCCACCGUCGCCCGCACCACAUGCAGCAGCGGCGCCACUUCUCCCAGCGUUACGAGCAGCGGCGGCGCCACCGUCGCCCGCACCACAGCCAUCGUCGCUGCGCAACCAAACUUCGCCGCCACGCGG